ACACCUGCACACAGACAUGCACUCAAGCCUGCACACACAUGGGCAGACACCCGCUCUGAAGCAUCCUCCCCGGCGGCUGACCUGUGUCCCUGCUGCCACACACACUGGGGGACAUCGCCAAGUCCAGACACAGAUGCCCCCAACUCCUCCGUGAGCUGAAAGAGCCUCCCCGUGGGAGCUGCCUGGACGUCUGACAUGGCCGUGAGCACAGGGGAUGGUCCAGCUGCGCAGGACAGAGAGCUGGACGUGGCUGGGCUGGCCCGUCUCCGCCUCGCCCAGCUCUUGCACACGUGAUGGCUGUUUUCUGAAAUGCCAUCUCCCUCCUCGGUGCCUGAAGUCUCCUUCCUGGGAAUGAUGUAGACUUUUCCCCCCCAGUACUUUGAGUUGCUGUUUUAUGAUGCAAACAUGUUGAAACACCGUCGGAAGUCACACUCCUCAAAGCACCACGAAGUCACGGUGAGGACUGCCCCAGCGGCCCCUCGAGCCCCCCCGACGUCGGGGAGGGGUCUGCCUGCAGAGCCGAGCUGCAGGGCAGAGGCAGGUGGGCUUGGCUCAGGCUGCCCCGAGGGAUCAAAUGCAACAGUGAGUUAAAAAUAGAACAUUGGGGUCAGACACACUUUGUCCUGGGGAGGCCAGGAGGGUUCCGUAGA